CAUUAUAUAAGUUAUCGUUUAUUUGAUAGCACCUUUCUACUCGGAUAACUGUGGUAAUUCUAGAGCUAAUACGUGCUGAAAAUCCCAACUUCGGAAGGGAUGUAUUUAUUAGAUUAAAAACCAAUGCCCUUCUGGGCUUUCUGGUGAUUCAUGAUAACUUCUCGAAUCGCAUGGCCUUGCGCCGGCGAUGGUUCAUUCAAAUUUCUUCCCUAUCAACUUUCGAUGCUAGGGUAUUGUCCUCGCAUGGUUACAACGGGUAACGGAGGGUUAGGGCUCGACCCCGGAGAAGGAGCCUGAGAAACGGCUACUACAUCCAAGGAAGGCAGCAGGCGCGCAAAUUACCCAAUCCCGACACGGGGAGGUAGUGACAAUAAAUACUGAUACAGGGCUCUUUUGGGUCUUGUAAUCGGAAUGAGUACAAUUUAAAUCCCUUAACGAGGAACAAUUGGAGGGCAAGUCUGGUGCCAGCAGCCGCGGUAAUUCCAGCUCCAAUAGCGUAUAUUAAAGUUGUUGUGGUUAAAAAGCUCGUAGUUGAACCUUGGGCCUGGCUACACGGACCGCCUCACCGCGAGAUCUGCCGUAGCCGGGUCUUUCCCACUGUGGAACCUCAUGGCCUUUACUGGUCGUGGCGGGGAAACAGGACUUUUACUUUGAAAAAAUUAGAGUGCUCCAGGCAGGCCUAUGCUCGAAUACAUUAGCAUGGAAUAAUAAAAUAGGACGCGUGGUUCUAUUUUGUUGGUUUCUAGGACCGCCGUAAUGAUUAAUAGGGACAGUCGGGGGCAUCAGUAUUCAAUUGUCAGAGGUGAAAUUCUUGGAUCUAUUGAAGACUAACUACUGCGAAAGCAUUUGCCAAGGAUGUUUUCAUUGAUAAGGAACGAAAGUUAGGGGAUCGAAGACGAUCAGAUACCGUCGUAGUCUUAACUAUAAACUAUGCCGACUAGGGAUCGGACGAUGUUAUCUUUUGACUCGUUCGGCACCUUUCGAGAAAUCAAAGUGCUUGGGCUCCAGGGGGAGUAUGGUCGCAAGGCUGAAACUUAAAGAAAAUUGACGGAAGGGCACCACCAGGGGUGGAACCUGCGGCUUAAUUUGACUCAACACGGGGAAACUCACCAGGUCCAGACACAGUGAGGAUUGACAGAUUGAUAGCUCUUUCUUGAUUCUGUGGGUGGUGGUGCAUGGCCGUUCUUAGUUGGUGGAGUGAUUUGUCUGCUUAAUUGCGAUAACGAACGAGACCUUAACCUGCUAAAUAGCCCUUAUUGCUUCGGCAGUAAGCUGGCUUCUUAGAGGGACUAUCGGCUCAAGCCGAUGGAAGUUUGAGGCAAUAACAGGUCUGUGAUGCCCUUAGAUGUCCUGGGCGGCACGGUAAGUUUACUUCCGCAACCACUACUGUUAUGGAUGUUUUGCUAACUAAUUACAGCGCGUUACACUGACAAAGCCAGCGAGUAUUUCCUUGGCCGGAAGGCCCGGGUAAUCUUGUUAAACUUUGUCGUGCUGGGGAUAGAGCAUUGCAAUUAUUGCUCUUCAACGAGGAAUCCCUAGUAA
rnacentral:rRNA from 1 species